rnacentral:rRNA from 1 species
CCUACGGGAGGCAGCAGUGAGGAAUAUUGGUCAAUGGACGAGAGUCUGAACCAGCCAAGUAGCGUGAAGGAUGACUGCCCUAUGGGUUGUAAACUUCUUUUAUAAAGGAAUAAAACGAGGCACGUGUGCCUUUUUGCAUGUACUUUAUGAAUAAGGAUCGGCUAACUCCGUGCCAGCAGCCGCGGUAAUACGGAGGAUCCGAGCGUUAUCCGGAUUUAUUGGGUUUAAAGGGAGCGUAGAUGGGUUGUUAAGUCAGUUGUGAAAGUUUGCGGCUCAACCGUAAAAUUGCAAUUGAUACUGGCAGUCGUGAGUACAGUUGAGGUAGGCGGAAUUCGUGGUGUAGCGGUGAAAUGCUUAGAUAUCACGAAGAACCCCGAUUACGAAGGCAGCUUACUAAACUGUGACUGACAUUGAUGCUCGAAAGUGUGGGUAUCAAACAGGAUUAGAUACCCUGGUAGUC